CUUUUCUACUUUACCUUUGUGCUCCUUGCAGACCCUUUCUGCUCCCUUUUCUACUUUACCUUUGUGCUCCUUGCUGUCCCUUUGUGCUCCUUCCUGCUCCUUGCUGCUCCUUCCUGCUCAUUCUCCUACUUUAUGUUUGUGUUCCUUCUGCCCCUUCCAGCUCAUUUCUGACCCUUUCUGCUCCUUCUACUUUACCUUUGUGCUGCUUUACCUUCCAGCUCCUUGCUGACCCUUCCUGUUC